UCAUUUGUUUAUUAAUUGUAGACUAGAAUGAAUGAAUAAACGUAAUAUUUACUAUCUUAUGUAAUAAAUUAAAAUUUUAUCUAGUAGUGAAGAAGCUACUGUCGUCUCGUAAGACAAGAAGACCCUAAAAUCUUAAUUCAACUAAGAUUUAAGAUCUUAUCUAAAUUUGGUUGGGAUGACCAAGAUAUAUAUAUCCAUCUUAGUAAAAAAAUAGAUUNACANAUCCAUANACGAUCGGUUAUCUCAUAUACUACCCCUGAAUAAAGUUACUUUAGGGAUANCAGACUAAUGCUC
rnacentral:rRNA from 1 species